UUUGAACGCUGGCGGCAGGCCUAACACAUGCAAGUCGAGCGGAGCGGCGGACGGGUGAGUAAUGCCUAGCAAUCAGCCUGGUAGUUGGGGAUAACGUCCGGAAACAGGCGCUAACACCGCAUACUAUCAAAUGAUCCUAUGUGGGAUUAGCUAGUUGGUGGGGUAAAGGCCUACCAAGGCGACGAUCCGUAACUGGUCUGAGAGGAUGAUCAGUCAAACUGGAACUGAGACAGGGUCCAGACCCCUACGGGAGGCAGCAGUGGGGAAUAUUGGACAAUGGGCGAAAGCCUGAUCCAGCCAUGCCGCGUGUGUGAAGAAGGUCUUCGGAUUGUAAAGCACUUUAAGUUGGGAGGCGUUACCAACAGAAUAAGCACCGGCUAACUUCGUGCCAGCCGCCGCGGUAAUAC
rnacentral:rRNA from 1 species